rnacentral:rRNA from 1 species
UCGCCUGUUUAUCAAAAACAUCGCCAUUCGCCAUCAUGAAAGGUAAGGCCUGCCCAGUGGAAAUCUCAACGGCUGCGGUAUCUUGACCGUACUAAGGUAGCAUAAUCACUUGUCCCCUAAUUAGGGACUAGAAUCAAUGGCUAAACGAGAGCUUAACUGUCUCAUCUGUAAAAAUAAAAACUUACUUUCAAGUGAAAAGGCUUGAAUAACCCAGGAGGACAAGAAGACCCUAUGGAGCUUUAGGGGUUAGGUCUAUAUAAAUCUAACAUUGAUGAAAAGAUCAAAAGACUAAUCACUUUGGUUGGGGCAACCGAAGUACACACAAACCACUUCUUCAAGAGAUGCUGAUAGGCAAAGAAAUAUUCCAAAAAGAUCUUAAAGUAAAGAUCAACGAAUAAGUUACCUUAGCCGGCCCCGCGCGUGUAUCCAAAAACAUACGUGAUAUGAGAGCAG